rnacentral:rRNA from 1 species
GACACGGACCAGACUCCUACGGGAGGCAGCAGUGAGGAAUAUUGGUCAAUGGGCGCAAGCCUGAACCAGCCAUGUCGCGUGCAGGAAGACUGCCCUAUGGGUUGUAAACUGCUUUUAUAGUAGAAGAAACACAUCUACGCGUAGAUGUCUGCCAGUAUACUAUGAAUAAGCAUCGGCUAACUCCGUGCCAGCAGCCGCGGUAAUACGGAGGAUGCAAGCGUUAUCCGGAUUUAUUGGGUUUAAAGGGUGCGUAGGCGGGACUGUAAGUCAGGGGUGAAAUACUGCAGCUUAACUGUAGCAUUGCCUUUGAAACUGUGGUUCUUGAGUACAGUUGAGGUAGGCGGAAUGUGGUGUGUAGCGGUGAAAUGCAUAGAUAUACCACAGAACGCCGAUUGCGAAGGCAGCUUACUAAGCUGUUACUGACGCUGAGGCACGAAAGCGUGGGGAUCAAACAGGAUUAGAUACCCUGGUAGUCCACGCUGUAAACGAUGAUUACUGGUUGUUAGCGAUAUAUAGCUAGUGACUGAGCGAAAGCAUUAAGUAAUCCACCUGGGGAGUACGUCGGCAACGAUGAAACUCAAAGGAAUUGACGGGGGCCCGCACAAGCGGAGGAACAUGUGGUUUAAUUCGAUGAUACGCGAGGAACCUUACCUGGGCUUAAAUGUAUAGUGCAUAAUGUGGAAACACAUUUUUCCUUCGGGACUCUUUACAAGGUGCUGCAUGGUUGUCGUCAGCUCGUGCCGUGAGGUGUCGGGUUAAGUCCCAUAACGAGCGCAACCCUUGUCGAUAGUUGCCAGCAUGUAAAGGUGGGGACUCUAUCGAGACUGCCGGUGUAAACCGUGAGGAAGGUGGGGAUGACGUCAAAUCAGCACGGCCCUUACAUCCAGGGCUACACACGUGUUACAAUGGCCAGUACAGAGGGCCGCUACCCCGCGAGGGGAUGCCAAUCUCGAAAGCUGGUCUCAGUUCGGAUUGAAGUCUGAAACCCGACUUCAUGAAGCCGGAUUCGCUAGUAAUCGCGCAUCAGCCACGGCGCGGUGAAUACGUUCCCGGGCCUUGUACACACCGCCCGUCAAGCCAUGGAAG